CAGUAAAGAACAUCACUCCAUGGUCUGCAUCAGCUCCUGCUUCCUGACCUGUUUGAGUUCCAGUCCUGACUUCCUUGGUGAUAAACAGCAACAUGGAAGUGAUGAAAAAGGGAAUUAAAAGAAAAAAACAAACCUGUUGUCUGAUGGUCAAGGCAUGACCCCUAGCUCCUACACCAGAUGACUCUCCAAACAUGCCUAGCUCAUCUUUGGCUGCCCAAGUUCUGUGCUUUCUACAGUAAGACCCAAGGACUCACACCUUCUCUCUGCGGUUGGAACUCAUUGAACCAGCUGAGCUUUUGCUUGAGAGCUGGAGAUUAUGACCCAGACCUUCAUGCUUGUACAACAGAGCACAUGACCGUCUGAGCUGACUCCCAGCUUCUCGUGCUCUUUGAAGUAAUACCCUCCUUGAAGACCAAGCAUCCUUUCCUGGAAAUACAUCUUCAGAAUCCUGUCUUCUGGAACAGAAUUUCAAAAAGGUUGACUUAUAUAUAAUCCUUUAACCUUCAUAAUUUCAAGAGUAAUGUCAACUGAAAAAUAAUACUUAAUUUGAAAGAGGGUUUACAUUUAUUUUCAAAAGAACAGAUUAGAGCUAAAACAAAAGAUUAAAGUGAAUUAUGUAACUGUCUACAAUACUAUUUUGUCUAAUAAAAAAACUUUCUAUUA
rnacentral:lncRNA from 1 species